AAUUUACUACAUAGACGCUCAUGAAAAGAGCUUCAACAGAAAAAGGAGAUAAGUCAUCAUCACCAGCACAGCAGAAUGAAGAGUAAUGAACAACUGGCUUUCAUUCUGCUGUGCUGGUGAUGAUGACUUAUCUCCUUUUUCUUGCCAUUUUCUUUGUCAUUUUUCCUGGCACUUUUUGCCACCAUGCGGUUCUUCUACGGGCUCUGCACAAAGGAUUAUUACAUUGCGUGGCCAAAUCCCAAAUGUAUGCUGGGAUUCUUUUUAGGCAUCGCUCAGAUGAUCCUAUACCUCAGAUACAAGAAUUCAGGGAAAGAUGAUGGGG